rnacentral:miRNA from 1 species
UGAGAAGAAGAAGAAGAAAA